GACGAACGCUGGCGGCGUGCUUAACACAUGCAAGUCGAACGGUAAGGCCCUUCGGGGUACACGAGUGGCGAACGGGUGAGUAACACGUGGGUGAUCUGCCCUGCACUUCGGGAUAAGCCUGGGAAACUGGGUCUAAUACCGGAUGGGACAAUUGCCUGCAUGGGUGGUGGUGGAAAGCUUUUGCGGUGUGGGAUGGGCCCGCGGCCUAUCAGCUUGUUGGUGGGGUGAUGGCCUACCAAGGGGACGACGGGUAGCCGGCCUGAGAGGGUGACAGGCCACACUGGGACUGAGAUACGGCCCAGACUCCUACGGGAGGCAGCAGUGGGGAAUAUUGCACAAUGGGCGCAAGCCUGAUGCAGCGACGCCGCGUGAGGGAUGACGGCCUUCGGGUUGUAAACCUCUUUCAGCACCGACGAAGCGCAAGUGACGGUAGGUGCAGAAGAAGGACCGGCCAACUACGUGCCAGCAGCCGCCGUAA
rnacentral:rRNA from 1 species